rnacentral:sRNA from 1 species
UUUAAUUUAAUCUGCUUUGGCGUGCAUAUUUUGGAAAACCAUAGAGCCGAAUUGUAGGAGCCGUUAUUAAACACUAAUACUGACCAAUGUACCAGGUACGCCUGUAGUGAUCUGUCUGUCUCUUGUUUUACCUACACACGUGAACACUUACCCAGUCUUGCAGGACGAAUAAUAAUGGACGUUGAUUAUAAUAUUUCUAAAUACUGAACCAUCGACGAUCAUCACAUCCUGAACACGAAUCUACACAGGACUCAUCCACAAACACGUUAAAGAUACACAGAAAGCGAGUAGUA